AUACGGAGGGUGCAAGCGUUAAUCGGAAUUACUGGGCGUAAAGGGCGCGUAGGCGGUCUAUCAAGUCAGGUGUGAAAUCCCACGGCUCAACCGUGGAGGUGCAUCUGAAACUGAUAGACUUGAGGAUGGGAGAGGAAAGUGGAAUUCCCGGUGUAGAGGUGAAAUUCGUAGAUAUCGGGAGGAACACCAGUGGCGAAGGCGACUUUCUGGACCAAUACUGACGCUGAGGCGCGAAAGCGUGGGGAGCAAACAGGAUUAGAAGCCCCAGUAGUCC
rnacentral:rRNA from 1 species